UACAGAGGAGCCAAGCGUUGUCCGGAUUGACUGGGCGUAAAGCGCACGCAGGCGGUUGCGCGCGUGGGGUGUGAAAUCUGGCCGCUUAACGGCCAGGCGCCAUCCCAUACGGCGCGACUGGAGUGAUGCAGAGGUCGAUGGAAUUGCCGGUGUAGUGGUGAAAUGCGUAGAGAUCGGGCAGGAACACCCAGGGGGAAACCAGUCGACUGGGCAUCUACUGACGCUGAGGUGCGAGGAGCGUGGGGGAGCGAACCGG
rnacentral:rRNA from 1 species